rnacentral:tRNA from 1 species
GCCCCGAUAAUGUCAGGCACAUCAUUCGUAAUGAUGGGGUCAGGUGUUCGAGUCACCUAAGCGGCACCA